AACGAACGCUGGCGGCAGGCUUAACACAUGCAAGUCGAGCGCCCCGCAAGGGGAGCGGCAGACGGGUGAGUAACGCGUGGGAAUCUACCCAUCUCUACGGAAUAACGCAUGGAAACGUGUGCGAUACCGUAUACGUCCUCCGGGAGAAAGAUUUAUCGGAGAUGGAUGAGCCCGCGUUGGAUUAGCUAGCUGGUGGGGUAAAGGCCUACAAAGGCGACGAUCCAUAGAUGGUCUGAGAGGAUGAUCAGCCACCCUGGGACUGAGACACGGCCCAGACUCCUACGGGAGGCAGCAGUGGGGAAUAUUGGACAAUGGGCGCAAGCCUGAUCCAGCCAUGCCGCGUGAGUGAUGAAGGCCCUAGGGUUGUAAAGCUCUUUCACCGGUGAAGAUAAUGACGGUAACCGGAGAAGAAGCCCCGGCUAACUUCGUGCCAGCCGCCGCGGUAAAAC
rnacentral:rRNA from 1 species